rfam:Tick-borne encephalitis virus strain Tomsk-M83, complete genome
GGAGUGCCCCACGGCAACACGUCAGUGAGAGUGGCGACGGGAAAAUGGUCGAUCCCGACGUAGGGCAUUCUGUUAAACUUUGUGAGACCCC